UAGUUGCCAGCAUUUAGUUUGGGCACUUCUGACGAGACUGCCGGUUGACAAACCGGAGGAAGGUGGGGAUGACGUCAAAUCAUCAGCCCCUAGAGCUGGGCACACACGUGCUACAAUGGACGGACAAACGAGUAGCGAGACCGCGAGGUUAAGCUAAUCUCCAUAAAGCCAGUUCUCAGUUCGGAUUGUCAGGCUGCAACUGCGCCUGACAUGAAGCCGGGAAUCGUA
rnacentral:rRNA from 1 species